AUUGAACGCUAGCGGGAUGCCUUACACAUGCAAGUCGAACGGAGUGGCGAACGGGUGAGUAAUGUAUCGGAACGUGCCCAGUAGCGGGGGAUAACUACGCGAAAGCGUCGCUAAUACCGCAUACUUUUGGAGCGGCGGAUAUCGGAUUAGCUAGUUGGUGGGUGGGCGGCUCACCAGUGCGACGAUGCGUGGCUGGUUUGAGAGGACGACCAGCCACACUGGGACUGUGGCACUGCGUAACUGCCUACGGUAGGCAGGAGUGGAGCAUUUGGGGCAAUGGGGGAAUCCGUGAUCGAGCGAUCCCGCGUGGGCGCGUGAGGGAUGCAGGUUUUCGAGCUCUAUUGCCAGUAAAGCGGUACCUGGAGAAUAAGCACCGGCUAACUACGUGCCAGCCGCCGCGGUAAUUC
rnacentral:rRNA from 1 species